CUCCCAAGAAGGAGGUGGGAGGGCAGGGGGCAGAGCCCAUCUUCAUUUUUUGUCCACUCCAACCUUGCUACGCUCCUGCUGAUUCAAUUCUGUUAUCUUUGCAGGAGAACUCAUUGUUGUGCAGGCAAAGAGGGAGAAGACAGAGGUCAGGGAAACUGUGGAAAGAUUGUCCAGGAGGCAGGAUGACUAAGUAAUGGUGGGCUCAGAAGAAAGUGGACUGAAGGAAGUCCUUCACGAUGAAGCAAAUGAGAAAAAAGCUGGUAUCUAGACAACUUUUCAAGGACUAUUUUGAUUACACCCUGGAAUAUUUGAAUAUGCCUAUCUAAGUUUUACUUUUUAAAAGCUUGAAAUAAGGAGUAAAGCUUAUUAUUCAUCUAUAUAUGGGAGACCCACGAAGCUUUCUAUGAAACUAACACUCCGUUUGGAGUGAUUUUUACUGAAGGAAUUUAUUUCAUUGGGUCCAUGCAAAAAGUUCAGCUUCUCCUUCUACAUCAUUGCAUUUUCUAGAGUUCAUCUUUAUCUAUUCAUGGCAUAUUUGUGAUAGGCUUCACUGCUUUCAACUCUCCUCCAACAUCGGAAGGAUUUUUCCACCUAAUUAUGGACUUUUAUUCUUUGGACACUGGAAUACUCAUCAAUACUUAUGUAUAGCUUCUAUAUGGUUUUUGGAUUAUAUUGUUUAUACUCAUAUAUACUUUUGUUUAUAUUUAAUUAUCUUGCAAUUUAUGUUUCUUAUAUUAAGUAUAUUGAUAAUCCAAAUUAUUCUUUGUGACUUUAAACUUAUAAAAUCCAUUUUGAGCAAGGUUAAUAUGUUUUAGUAUUAACUACUCUACACUAACUACUCUAAAACGAAAAUAAUCCGAUUUAGUUCUAAACCUAAGAAUUUUAGAUGGGUAAUAAAAGGUCAGCAGAUAGAACAGACCCAAUAUAAAUAUCUGGGUGUGACAUUCCGUUACAAUAGCUCAUCUACACAUGUUAAGAUGACUGCCAAUACUGCUUCCUCGUCUGUUGUUCUGAGAUUUUUUUCUGCACACAGGGAGAUUAUCACAUACCAGCUGCCAUUAAAUUAUUUGAGUACAACCAAUUGCUCAAAUGUUGUAUGGGGCUCAGCUUGGCCCGUUUAAAGAUUGUUUGCUUCUUGAAAGGAUGCAAAUGUCAUUCUUAAGAUAUUUAUCUGGUGUAUCUAGAAGUACACCCAACUCAGUGAUUUGUCAGGAAGCAGGCCUAAUUAAAAUUGAAGCAAGGUUGUCAGCUAUUAAUUAUUGGCUUAAAAUUCACCGCAAUCCAUUGGGACUGAUAAUUAAGUACCUAUUGAUUGAUCCACACCCCAGAUGGAUUCUUACCAUUUUGGAGAAACUUACCUCCAUGGGUUUAAAUCCGCCUGCUCUACUAGAGUUAGGAUUAAUUGGUGCAAAGAAGGCAGUACGGAGAAGAUUUGAAGAUAUUGAACUGCAAUCUGAAAAGGCUCUUUUGCCUAACUAUUAUUCACCAUUAAAAACGAGAGAAGGGUUUGCCCCAGCUUGUUAUUUUUACUCUAUAUCUGUUAAUACAUAUAUGUGGGCUUUUUCGAGAGCUCACUUUAAUGCGAUUCCUUCAGCUCUUGUAGAAGGAAGAUAUCAGCACCUUCCUUUACAAGAUAGAAAAUGUCCCUCCGGUGACAUAGAAACUAGAGCACAUAUUUUGCUCCACUGCAAGCUCUAUCAUGAGGUUAGACAACGAUUGAUCUCCCCGUU